rnacentral:rRNA from 1 species
GACGAACCGUGCAAACGUUGUUCGGAAUCACUGGGCUUAAAGGGCGCGUAGGCGGGCUCGCCAGUCAGGGGUGAAAGCCUCCAGCUCAACUGGAGAAGUGCCUUUGAUACUGCGAGUCUCGAGGGAGGUAGGGGCGUGCGGAACUUCCGGUGGAGCGGUGAAAUGCGUAGAUAUCGGAAGGAACACCGGUGGCGAAAGCGGCGCGCUGGACCUCUUCUGACGCUGAGGCGCGAAAGCCAGGGGAGCAAACGGG